AUUGAACGCUGGCGGCAUGCCUAACACAUGCAAGUCGAACGGCAGCGCGGGGGCAACCCUGGCGGCGAGUGGCGGACGGGUGAGGAAUGCAUCGGAAUCUGCCUGGUUGUGGGGGAUAACGUAGGGAAACUUACGCUAAUACCGCAUACGACCUACGGGUGAAAGUGGGGGACCGCAAGGCCUCACGCGAUCAGAGGAGCCGAUGUCGGAUUAGCUAGUUGGCGGGGUAAAGGCCCACCAAGGCGACGAUCCGUAGCUGGUCUGAGAGGAUGAUCAGCCACACUGGAACUGAGACACGGUCCAGACUCCUACGGGAGGCAGCAGUGGGGAAUAUUGGACAAUGGGCGCAAGCCUGAUCCAGCCAUGCCGCGUGCAGGAUGAAGGCCUUCGGGUUGUAAACUGCUUUUGUACGGAACGAAAAGCUACUCUCUAAUACAGGGGUGAAUGACGGUACCGUAAGAAUAAGCACCGGCUAACUACGUGCCAGCAGCCG
rnacentral:rRNA from 1 species